rnacentral:rRNA from 1 species
AGAGUUUGGUCCUGGCUCAGGACGAACGCUGGCGGCACGCUUAACACAUGCAAGUCGAACGAGAGAAGAGGAGCUUGCUUUUCUGAUCUAGUGGCGGACGGGUGAGUAACACGUGAGCAAUCUGCCUUUCAGAGGGGGAUACCGAUUGGAAACGAUCGUUAAUACCGCAUAACAUAAUUGAACCGCAUGAUUUGAUUAUCAAAGAUUUAUCGCUGAAAGAUGAGCUCGCGUCUGAUUAGCUAGUUGGUAAGGUAACGGCUUACCAAGGCGACGAUCAGUAGCCGGACUGAGAGGUUGAUCGGCCACAUUGGGACUGAGACACGGCCCAGACUCCUACUGGAGGCAGCAGUGGGGAAUAUUGCACAAUGGAGGAAACUCUGAUGCAGCGAUGCCGCGUGAGGGAAGAAGGUUUUAGGAUUGUAAACCUCUGUCUUCAGGGACGAAAAAAGACGGUACCUGAGGAGGAAGCUCCGGCUAACUACGUGCCAGCAGCCGCGGUAAUACGUAGGGAGCGAGCGUUGUUCGGAAUUACUGGGUGUAAAGGGAGCGUAGGCGGGAUCGCAAGUCAGAUGUGAAAACUAUGGGCUUAACCCAUAAACUGCAUUUGAAACUGUGGUUCUUGAGUGAAGUAGAGGUAAGCGGAAUUCCUAGUGUAGCGGUGAAAUGCGUAGAUAUUAGGAGGAACAUCAGUGGCGAAGGCGGCUUACUGGGCUUUAACUGACGCUGAGGCUCGAAAGCGUGGGGAGCAAACAGGAUUAGAUACCCUGGUAGUCCACGCCGUAAACGAUGAUUACUAGGUGUGGGGGGACUGACCCCUUCCGUGCCGCAGCAAACGCAAUAAGUAAUCCACCUGGGGAGUACGACCGCAAGGUUGAAACUCAAAGGAAUUGACGGGGGCCCGCACAAGCAGUGGAGUAUGUGGAUUAAUUCGAAGCAACGCGAAGAACCUUACCAGGUCUUGACAUCGUAUGCAUAGCUCAGAGAUGAGUGAAAUCUCUUCGGAGACAUAUAGACAGGUGGUGCAUGGUUGUCGUCAGCUCGUAUCGUGAGAUGUUGGGUUAAGUCCCGCAACGAGCGCAACCCUUACUGUUAGUUGCUACGCAAGAGCACUCUAGCAGGACUGCCGUUGACAAAACGGAGGAAGGUGGGGAUGACGUCAAAUCAUCAUGCCCCUUAUGACCUGGGCCUCACACGUACUACAAUGGCUGUCAACAGAGGGAAGCAAAGCCGCGAGGUGGAGCGAACCCCUAAAAGCAGUCUUAGUUCGGAUUGUAGGCUGCAACCCGCCUACAUGAAGUCGGAAUUGCUAGUAAUCGCAGAUCAGCAUGCUGCGGUGAAUACGUUCCCGGGCCUUGUACACACCGCCCGUCACGCCAUGGGAGUCGGUAACACCCGAAGCCUGUAGUCUAACCGCAAGGAGGACGCAGUCGAAGGUGGGAUUGAUGACUGGGGUGAAGUCGUAACAAGGUA